rnacentral:rRNA from 1 species
AGUUUGAUUAUGGCUCAGAUUGAACGCUGGCAGGAUGCUUUUACACAUGCAAGUCGAACGGCAGCACGAGACUUCAGUCUGGUGGCAGUGGCGAACGGGUGAGUAAUGUAUCCGGAACGUGCCUAGUAGCGGGGGAUAACUACGCGAAAGCGUAGCUAAUACCGCAUGUCGCCCUUCGAGGAAAGCGGGGGACGCUUCGGGCCUCGCACUAUUAAACGGCCGAUAUCGGAUUAGCUAGUUGGUGGGGUAACGGCUCACCAAGGCGACGAUCAGUGGCUGGUUUGAGGGGACGACCAGCCACACUGGGACUGAACGACGGGCUCCUACGAGAGGCAGCAGUGGGGAAUUUUGGACAAUGGAAACCCUGAUCCAGCCAUCCCGCGUGUGCGAUGAAGGCCUUCAGGUUGUAAGCACUUUUGGCAGGAAAGAAACGGCACGGGAUAAUACCCGUGCAACUGACAGCCUGCAGAAUAAGCGCCGGCUGCGCUACGUGCCAGCAGCCGCAGUAGCCGUAGUGCAAGCGUUAAUCGGAAUUACUGGGCGUAAAAGCGUGCUGAGCGGUUCGGAAAGAAAGAUGUGAAAUCCCAGAGCACUUUGGAACUGCAUUUUUUUAACUACCGAGCUAGAGUGUGUCAGAGGAGGUAGAAUUCCGCGUGUAGCAGUGAUGCGUAGAUAUGCGGAGGAACACCGGUGGCGAAGGCAGCCUCCUGGGAUAACACUGACGCUCAUGCACGAAAGCGUGGGGAGCAAACAGGAUUAGAUACGCAAAUCCGCCUAAACGAUGUCAACUAGCUAUUUAGGGCCUUCCGGGCCUUGGUAGCGCAGCUAACGCGUGAAGUUGACCGCCUGGGAGCGCGGUCGCAAGAUUAAAACUCAAAGGAAUUGACGGGGACCCGCACAAGCGGUGGAUGAUGUGGAUUAUUCGGUAUACCGAAAAACCAUACACUGCCGCCGGUAUAUGCGGAAUCCGAAGAGAUUCAGGUGCUCCGCAAGAGAACCGGAACACAGGUGCUGCAUGGCUGUCGUCAGCUCGUGUCGUGAGAUGUUGGGUUAAGUCCCGCAACAGGCGCAACCCUUGUCAUUAGUUGCUACGAAAGGGCACUCUAAUGAGACUGUGGUGACAAACCGGAGGAAGGUGGGGAUGACGUCAAGUCCUCCGCUAAUUUAUAUGGGUAGAGGCUUCACACGUCAUACAAUGGUCGGGACAGAGGUCGCCAACCCGCGAGGGAGCCAAUCCCGAAACCCGAUCGUAGUCCGGAUCGCAGUCUGCAACUCGACUGCGUGAAGUCGGAAUCGCUGGUAAUCGCGGAUCGGCAUGUCACCCAGUGAAUACGUUCAGGUCUUGUACCACCGCCCGUCACACCGUGGGAGUGGGGUUUACCAGAAAUGGAUUAGCCUAACCGUAAGGAGGCGAUUACCACAGUAGGAUUCAUGACUGGGGUGAAGUCAUGGUAGCCGCAUUUACCUGGUGCUC